rnacentral:misc_RNA from 1 species
GAAAAAUUAGACCCUCUGAAAGCUCGAGGAUCUGAUUUGAUUCAUGGGGAAUUGCUGCGCUACUCCGGCUACUCCUUCAGGGCAGCAGCACAAGGGGAAGAACAAGAAGCCGAACCCAUUUGCAGCUGAUUAUGUAGUGAGCAAUGGCAAUGGCGGUGGGAACUGGGUGUUGAAAGAUCCAACGGGUCGAGACAUUUCUGCCUUAUAUGAUCUGGGUAGCGAGCUUGGAAGGGGUGAAUUUGGAAUAACGUAUUUGUGUACUGAUAGAAACACCGGAGAGAAACUUGCUUGCAAAUCGAUUUCGAAAAAGAAGCUGAGGACUGCUGUGGAUAUUGAUGAUGUGAGGAGAGAAGUUGAAAUUAUGAAGAAUUUGCCUAAGCAUCCGAAUAUUGUGUCAUUGAGAGACACCUAUGAGGAUGAACAUGCUGUUCAUAUUGUUAUGGAGCUUUGUGAAGGCGGGGAGUUGUUUGAUAGGAUUGUUGCGAGGGGUCAUUACACCGAAAGAGCAGCUGCAGUUGUCAUGCGGACUAUUGUUGAAGUUGUGCAGAUGUGUCAUAAACACGGUGUUAUGCAUCGUGAUCUCAAGCCAGAGAACUUCCUUUUUGGCAAUAAGAAGGAAACAGCUCCAUUAAAGGCAAUUGAUUUUGGGUUAUCGGUGUUCUUCAAACCUGGUGAGCGGUUUA